UCGCUCAGGCCUAAUAGAGCAAUCCAGUUUGAAAAUGAAAAGGCCCAAUUUGUUUUUGGUGAGCUUAUAACCAGUCCAGAUUGGAGUGGCUCGUUGCAGAAAACCACCAACCCUAGCUAAAACCCUAAAGCUGCUUCCAUCCUCGUUCAGCAAUUAUAAGUUCCGCUGCCACGCCUCUCAAUCUUCACCAUUUCGUCAUAAUCAUAAUACCUGUGACUUGGAUUUCAGAUUUGGUUUAUGAACCUUUCGGAUUUCGAUCUGUUAGUUGGAUAACCCAAGGAUCCGUUUCUGAGUUCAAAUCAAUUAUUCGAUGCAUUUUCUUUUGGAUGUCCAUAGUUUAUAAACAUUCGCAAUUCUUUCAGAAGAUUACAUCGGUAGAAGUAUAAUUGUUGAUAAUUACUUAUUAGAUUCUUGUAAUUAUUUUAUUGUUAAUUUUAUGUUUA